rnacentral:rRNA from 1 species
GACGAACGCUGGCGGCGUGCCUAAUACAUGCAAGUAGAACGCACAGUUUAUACCGUAGCUUGCUACACCAUAGACUGUGAGUUGCGAACGGGUGAGUAACGCGUAGGUAACCUGCCUGGUAGCGGGGGAUAACUAUUGGAAACGAUAGCUAAUACCGCAUAAUAUUAAUUAUUGCAUGAUAAUUAAUUGAAAGGUGCAAUUGCACCACUACCAGAUGGACCUGCGUUGUAUUAGCUAGUAGGUGAGGUAACGGCUCACCUAGGCGACGAUACAUAGCCGACCUGAGAGGGUGAUCGGCCACACUGGGACUGAGACACGGCCCAGACUCCUACGGGAGGCAGCAGUAGGGAAUCUUCGGCAAUGGACGAAGGUCUGACCGAGCAACGCCGCGUGAGUGAAGAAGGUUGUCGGAUCGUAAAGCUCUGUUGUAAGAGAAGAACGGGUGUGAGAGUGGAAAGUUCACACUGUGACGGUAUCUUACCAGAAAGGGACGGCUAACUACGUG